rnacentral:rRNA from 1 species
GUGGCAAGCGUUGUCCGGAAUUACUGGGUGUAAAGCGCGUGUAGGCGGGAUGCCAAGUCUGUGGUGAAAUCGCCUGGCUUAACUGGGCGGGGUCCAUGGAAACUGGUCACCUGGAGGUCGGUAGAGGCAAGUGGAAUUCCCGGUGUAGUGGUGAAAUGCGUAGAGAUCGGGAGGAACACCAGUGGCGAAGGCGGCUUGCUGGGCCGGACCUGACGCUGAGACGCGAAGGCGUGGGGAGCGAGCGGG